rnacentral:lncRNA from 1 species
UUUAUCAAGAUGUUUCAGUGAUGGUGGAGAGUGCAGAUAACUUUAAUGGUUGAUCGUGCUACUAGAUAAAUGGUUCAAAGAAGCUCUUGGAAUAGACGUGUUGGAUCAAUGUCGAGUUAACUUGAUUGAACAUAUAUUAGGGUAGCGUAACGGAAAGAAGGAAAGAUGGUAGCUCAGAAAAAUGAAGAAGCAAUUUGAUAUUUCAAAAGUAUCAACAGAAGAAUGGAGCAGAUGGUCGAGAACAAGUACAAAUUAUUCUUAGGAUCAUCAUAAAAACAAAAUUUGAGCAGAGAGGUAUUGGUUAAAUUUCAAGUGGGUAGAAUGGGAAGGAAGCAGAAUUAUGGACCAAGAAAAUGUUACGACCAUUGCAAUUAGCCAAGGAUGAAGAUUUCAAUACGAUUGCAGGCAUGGUUGGAUGAGUGGGUAAGAAUCGUCGUUAGUAAAAUGAUAUGCAAGUUGGUUCAACCAUUCAAUGGUUUGCAAGUUGGUUCAACCAUUCAAUGGUUUGACGCAAAAUUAUGUGAGGUAUGGUGGAUGACAUACGGCAAAGAAAGGUUUGUGGUUCAGGAAGAGUUCAUUUGGGUAUGUAUGUGUUAGUGAAGUCCAGUUGGGAAUACUUUUGCAUGGAUGCAUCCAAGACUGGAAUUAUUUAUUUUAUGAAUGUGAUAUCGCGUAUUUGUCUUGACGGUUGUGGAACAAAAGGAUUGCAGUCAGCGCUGAAAAAUAUUGUGAAUCAAGGGUGAUCCAGAUGAUGUGAGUGCUUUGAGUGAGAAAUCAGGUGAUCA